rnacentral:rRNA from 1 species
UACGUAGGGGGCAAGCGUUGUCCGGAUUUAUUGGGCGUAAAGCGCUCGCAGGUGGUCCGCUGCGUCGUGCGUGAAAGACCCCGGCUCAACUGGGGGCGUCGUGCGAUACGGGCGGACUGGAGGCCAGUAGGGGGAUGCGGAAUUCCGGGUGUAGUGGUGGAAUGCGUAGAGAUCCGGAGGAACACCAGCGGCGAAGGCGGCAUCCUGGACUGGUCCUGACACUCAUGAGCGAAAGCGUGGGGAGCGAUCCGG